GCCAGGCGCAGUGGCUUACGCCUGUAAUCCCAGCAAUUUGGGAGGCUGAGGUGGGUGGAUCACUUGAGGUCAGGAGUUCAAGACCAGCCUGGCCAAUAUGGUGAAACCCCAUCUCUA
ensembl:misc_RNA Metazoa_SRP Metazoan signal recognition particle RNA